rnacentral:lncRNA from 1 species
AACACUGUCUUACAGGGAGAUAUCAUGCAAACCAAAUGUAAACCCUGCAAGGAAUACAUGGAUUGGUAUAGAUCUGUGACCAAUUUGUAUCUAUCACAAAAUAGAUACCUAUUUGAACCUCGUAACGAACCUACGUCUUCAAACUUCCAACACACCAGACCAUCAAUUAGUACUUACAUCUAACAACCAACAUGUAACACCCAACAACUAACAUGUAACACCCAACAACCUUUCAACCCAACAUAACAACCUUAUAUCCCAAGUCAAUACUACCAUCAACCAAACCCAUCAUUUAACCCAACCCCCUACAACACCCAAUAACAAAACCCAAAUUUUACCCCCUCAGCAUACACCCAACAACAAACACCAUCCACCAUCCACCAUCCACUAUAACCAAUACUCAUUCUCACAACCUACCCCACAAGAACACAACUACCAAACCCCUAACCACAAAUACUUUUUUACCACUCACAAACAUUGACCCUUAAUUCAUCCCAAGACCAACAAUCCUACACCCCCUACAUGAAUAACUCAAUGCCACCUACCGUCCAAUCAAAUUGGAAUAACGAGGGAACAAAAUUAAGUUAUGGCAGUGCAGCGACGAUUGACGGGUUUGAUGAUGAUAUGGUCGCUG